UGAGGAAUGAUGACCUCUGAUUGGUCAGUCAUGAUGACACAGUUUAUGGGUUUGGAGGAUUCCGUUGUCAAGAGCAACAGGGCAGGAUCACCUCUGUAAGGAAAUAAUGUGAUCACAUGGCAAAGAGUCAAGCAAGCCAUGACUAAGGAAGACAAUGAAGCAUGAAACUGUCCUUUCCAGAGAAAUCACAGGCACGGAAUAAGAAGUCCCUGAGGAGGUCUUUCCCUCAUCAAGCUGGGAUAUUCCUUUCAUAUCCAGUGAACUUCAGAGCAACACUGAGUUUUGCUGAAGAAAAUCAAAGGAAAAGAAGAAAUGGGCAUUUGGCUGCUGGGAGACAAGAGACCUACUCAAAGGUGAAGAUAUUUAAAUUGGUUGAUCCCAUCAAGACUGACCCUUGUCCUUGUAGGAUCUUUCUUCUUUCUUUCUUUUUUUUUUUUUUUUAAGAUUUUAUUUAUUUAUCAUGAGAGACACACAGAGAGAGGCAGAGACACAGGCAGAGGAAGGAGAAGCAGGCUCCACACAGGG
rnacentral:lncRNA from 1 species